AGUGAACGCUGGCGGUAGGCCUAACACAUGCAAGUCGAACGGCAGCACAGGAGAGCUUGCUCUCUGGGUGGCGAGUGGCGGACGGGUGAGGAAUACAUCGGAAUCUACUCUGUCGUGGGGGAUAACGUAGGGAAACUUACGCUAAUACCGCAUACGACCUACGGGUGAAAGCAGGGGACCUUCUGGCCUUGCGCGAUUGAAUGAGCCGAUGUCGGAUUAGCUAGUUGGCGGGGUAAAGGCCCACCAAGGCGACGAUCCGUAGCUGGUCUGAGAGGAUGAUCAGCCACACUGGAACUGAGACACGGUCCAGACUCCUACGGGAGGCAGCAGUGGGGAAUAUUGGACAAUGGGCGCAAGCCUGAUCCAGCCAUACCGCGUGGGUGAAGAAGGCCUUCGGGUUGUAAAGCCCUUUUGUUGGGAAAGAAAUCCAGCUGGCUAAUACCCGGUUGGGAUGACGGUACCCAAAGAAUAAGCACCGGCUAACUUCGUGCCAGCAGCCGCUGUAA
rnacentral:rRNA from 1 species